rnacentral:rRNA from 1 species
UUCAGACGAUGCGUCAUGCAUAUCAAUAAGCGGAGGAAAAGAAACUAACAAGGAUUCCCUUAGUAACGGCGAGUGAAGCGGGAAGAGCUCAAAUUUGAAAUCUUCAAGGUUUUACCUUGACGAAUUGUAGUUUAAAGAAGUGUUUUCUGUUGGAGUUUUGGUAAAAGUUCUUUGGAAUAGGACAUCAUAGAGGGUGAGAAUCCCGUAUUUGACCAUUAUUUUCAGCUGUGUGAUACACUUUCAAAGAGUCGGAUUGUUUGGGAAUGCAGUCCAAAAUGGGUGGUAAAUUUCAUCUAGAGCUAAAUAUUGGCGAGAGACCGAUAGCGAACAAGUACCGUGAGGGAAGGAUGAAAAGAACUUUGAAAAGAGAGUUAAACAGUACGUGAAAUUGUCAAAAGGGAAGCGUUUGACACCAGUGUUGUUUUCUCGAAAAUCAAUUAAAAAGAGUUGGAUUUUGUGUUGUAUUGACCUUAACAGCUUGCUUCACUCUUUUCCUGCUUUUUUUAAUGCACUUUUCGUUUAACAAGUCAACAUCAGUUUCUUUUGUUGUAAAAGGGUCAUUGGAAGGUGGCUUUCUCUUCGGAGAAAGUGUUUAUAGCCUUUGAUCUCUGCAAUCGGAGAGACUGAGGUCUGCAGCGUAGAUCCUUCGGGGUUAGAUACAUUUGUGCUAAGCUACAGCUUUUCAUAGACAACUUGUUGACUAUGUUUAGUCUUGUAACUUACCCGCUUAUGCUAUUUUACCUACGCUUAGGAUAUUGAUAUGCAUGACUGAUAU